UCUGCUGAUUUCAUAGGCUGACAGUCUCCAGUGAAGUCUGUCAGGGGAUGAAAUCCCUCAGGGCACGUCUACACUUGGCUCAGGCUGAGGGUAACACAGCAGAUGUGCUCGUCUUAAACUAAUGGGCAGAAUUGAGAAUGAAGUUUGGUUUGCUUUCCCCUUUCCUCCAAUCUAUUUCACUGAAUUGUUUAUUUCCCUUGUCUGGGCUCCUCAGCUUUUCAGGUUAUCACUGCUAGCUUAUCACCGUUCUUCUUUGUCAUGACCGCCAAUGUUCUAACCAUUUCUUGGUAAGUGCCUACAUGAGCUUUUUGUUUAAACA
rnacentral:lncRNA from 1 species